UACGAAGGGGGCUAGCGUUGCUCGGAAUCACUGGGCGUAAAGCGCACGUAGGCCGAUUGUUAAGUCAGGGGUGAAAUCCUGGAGCUCAACUCCAGAACUGCCCUUGAUACUGACGGUCUCGAGUCCGGAAGAGGUGAGUGGAACUGCGAGUGUAGAGGUGAAAUUCGUAGAUAUUCGCAAGAACACCAGUGGCGAAGGCGGCUCACUGGUCCGGUACUGACGCUGAGGUGCGAAAGCGUGGGGAGCAAACAGG
rnacentral:rRNA from 1 species